CGGCGAAUGGGUGAGUAACACGUGCUUAAUCUACCCUUUAGAUUGGAAUACCCAAUGGAAACAUUGGCUAAUGCCGGAUACGCAUGGAAUCGCAUGAUUCCGUUGUGAAAGGAGCCUUUAAAGCUCCGCUAGAGGAUGAGGGUGCGGAACAUUAGUUAGUUGGUAGGGUAAUGGCCUACCAAGACUAUGAUGUUUAGCCGGGUCGAGAGACUGAACGGCCACAUUGGGACUGAGAUACGGCCCAAACUCCUACGGGAGGCAGCAGUAGGGAAUAUUCCACAAUGAGCGAAAGCUUGAUGGAGCGACACAGCGUGCACGAUGAAGGUCUUCGGAUUGUAAAGUGCUGUUAUAGGGAAAGAACACCUGGUUGAGGAAAUGCUUCCAGGCUGACGGUACCCUGUCAGAAAGCGAUGGCUAACUAUGUGCCAGCAGCCGCGGUAAUACAUAGGUCGCAAGCGUUAUCCGGAAUUAUUGGGCGUAAAGCGUUCGUAGGCUGUUUAUUAAGUCUGGAGUCAAAUCCCAGGGCUCAACCCUGGCUCGCUUUGGAUACUGGUAAACUAGAGUUAGAUAGAGGUAAGCGGAAUUCCAUGUGAAGCGGUGAAAUGCGUAGAUAUAUGGAAGAACACCAAAGGCGAAGGCAGCUUACUGGGUCUAUACUGACGCUGAGGGACGAAAGCGUGGGGAGCAAACAGGAUUAGAUACCCUGGUAGUCCACGCCGUAAACGAUGAUCAUUAGUCGGUGGAGAGUUCACUGACGCAGCUAACGCAUUAAAUGAUCCGCCUGAGUAGUAUGCUCGCAAGAGUGAAACUUAAAGGAAUUGACGGGGACCCGCACAAGCGGUGGAGCAUGUGGUUUAAUUUGAAGAUACGCGGAGAACCUUACCCACUCUUGACAUCCUUCGCAAUGCUAUAGAGAUAUAGCGGAGGUUAACGGAGUGACAGAUGGUGCAUGGUUGUCGUCAGCUCGUGUCGUGAGAUGUUUGGUCAAGUCCUGCAACGAGCGCAACCCCUAUCUUUAGUUACUAACGAGUCAUGUCGAGGACUCUAGAGAUACUGCCUGGGUAACUGGGAGGAAGGUGGGGAUGACGUCAAAUCAUCAUGCCUCUUACGAGUGGGGCAACACACGUGCUACAAUGGUCGGUACAAAGAGAAGCAAUAUGGCGACAUGGAGCAAAUCUCAAAAAGCCGAUCUCAGUUCGGAUUGGAGUCUGCAAUUCGACUCCAUGAAGUCGGAAUCGCUAGUAAUCGCAGAUCAGCUACGCUGCGGUGAAUACGUUCUCGGGUCUUGUACACACCGCCCGUCACUCCAUGGGAGCUGGUAAU
rnacentral:rRNA from 1 species